UCAGGAAAAGGGGGAUGUCCCUCCUCGAC
rnacentral:piRNA from 1 species